rnacentral:lncRNA from 1 species
ACAAUACAAACCUACACAUUGGGUUAAUGUAAUGUUUGAUAAGAGAGCUGUACUUGUACGGCAUGUCCUUUAGUCACAUUAAUUACUCACUUCUACCCCGUUCCUACAUCUCAUUCCAUAUCAGAGUCUGUCUGUGUUAGCUCAGCUCAUUGGCAUUCAUCUGGUUUUUACUGAGUCAGCGGGUAUUCCAUUAUUCUUGUCCCUUACCCUUUUGUCUGCUCACAGUAAAAUAAUGUCAUCUCAAUUAAUUCACCCGGCUGAACGUCACUUUGGUUCUCGUGAAAUUCGUCUGACUCUUCUCUUCCCUUUGUCUUCGACCGCAGUCACUUAAGAGAGCAUGAAAUGUAAAUCUUCCUCCGCUUAUAACAAUGUGUCAUUAUUUCAGUGUCAAAUGGGAUGAGAGGGCAGGGAAUUUAAAGUGGCACCCUCUUGCGCAGGUGUCAGUCAAUCAAUUCUCCAUUCAGGUGUGUGUGCUUGCGCUGUGUGGUGAGAAGACUGGAGGAAGGCUGAGACCACUAUGGAACUAGCCAGCCCAGCCGAGGAGUGACAAUAAAAUACGGGGUGAAUUUUCAGCGGGAAUCAUUUGUGCUCACUGGGGAUAUGCAUCUCUACAUGAAUCUCCAAAUGUUCUGCCAAUUAUCUAUUCUGAUUCUCAUUUCACCUGCAGUACGAAUCGAAAUCAUGUGACCGUUUUCAUCUUCAUCUCCCCAAAUCGGCGGAUCUUUGUUCAACAACACCCUCGGCAGACCUCCACUGACCAUCCCACCCGCUGACUGCAGCUGUAGCUGACAUAUUGAAUGUCUCACAUGCUGCUUGUUUGGCCCCACUGGCAGUUUAAAGCGUUGACAGGCAGUAGACGUGAGCCACGGGCAGCAGAUCCCCCGGGUUCCUCCGUUAAAGAACCAGUGCAGUGGGAUAGCUAGUACUCCUAGACCGACAGCAAGCCUUGGCCAGCAGCAUAACACCCUGCAUCCCAUUGCUGGCUUGCUUCUGAAGCUAAGCAGUGUUGGUCCUGGAUGGAAGACCAGAUGCUGCUGGAAGUGGUGUCGGAGGGCCAGUAGGAGGCACUCUUUCCUCUGGUGUAAAAUAAAAUAUCCUAAUUCCCCAG